UACAACUCUCUUGUGUGCCAUUAGACAUAGU
rnacentral:piRNA from 1 species